rnacentral:rRNA from 1 species
GAUGAACGCUGGCGGCGUGCCUAAUACAUGCAAGUCGAGCGAACAGACGAGGAGCUUGCUCCUCUGACGUUAGCGGCGGACGGGUGAGUAACACGUGGAUAACCUACCUAUAAGACUGGGAUAACUUCGGGAAACCGGAGCUAAUCCCGGAUAAUAUAUUGAACCGCAUGGUUCAAUAGUGAAAGACGGCUUUGCUGUCACUUAUAGAUGGAUCCGCGCCGCAUUAUGUAGUUGGUACGGUAACGGCUUACCAAGGCGACGGUGCGUAGCCGACCUGAGAGGGGGAUGGGCCCCACUGGAAGUGAGACACGGUCCAGAUUCCUACGGGGGGCAGCAGUAGGGAAUCUUGCGCAAAGGGGGAAAGCCUGACGGAGCAACGGCGGGUGAGUGAUGAAGGUCUGCGGCGCGUAAAACUCUGUUAUUAGGGAAGAACAAAUGUUUAGGCUACUACGCACGUUUUGACGGUACCUAAUCAGAAAGCCCCGGCUAACUACGUG